rnacentral:rRNA from 1 species
UACAGAGGGUGCGAGCGUUAAUCGGAAUUAUUGGGCGUAAAGGGCGCGUAGGCGGCCAUUCAAGUGACGGGUGAAAGCCCUCGGCUUAACCGAGGAACUGCCUGUCAGACUGGAUGGCUUGAGACCGGGAGAGGUGAGUGGAAUUCCCAGUGUAGCGGUGAAAUGCGUAGAUAUUGGGAGGAACACCAGUGGCGAAGGCGGCUCACUGGACCGGAACUGACGCUGAGGCGCGAAAGCGUGGGGAGCAAACAGG